rnacentral:rRNA from 1 species
CCUACGGGCGGCAGCAGUGGGGAAUAUUGGACAAUGGGGGGAACCCUGAUCCAGCCAUGCCGCGUGUGUGAAGAAGGCCCUCGGGUUGUAGAGCACUUUCAGUGAGGAAGAACGCCUGGUGGUUAAUACCCAUCAGGAAAGACAUCACUCACAGAAGAAGCACCGGCUAACUCCGUGCCAGCAGCCGCGGUAAUACGGAGGGUGCGAGCGUUAAUCGGAAUUACUGGGCGUAAAGCGCGCGUAGGUGGCUUGAUAAGCCGGUUGUGAAAGCCCCGGGCUCAACCUGGGAACGGCAUCCGGAACUGUCAAGCUAGAGUGCAGGAGAGGAAGGUAGAAUUCCCGGUGUAGCGGUGAAAUGCGUAGAGAUCGGGAGGAAUACCAGUGGCGAAGGCGGCCUUCUGGACUGACACUGACACUGAGGUGCGAAAGCGUGGGUAGCAAACAGGAUUAGAUACCCCGGUAGUC